UCAGAUGACCCCGAGGCGGCUCCUGAAAAGGUGGAGGUGGAGCUGGUGGGGCCAGAACCCUGGGCGCCCCCCACCCCCCCACAGGGCAACUGGGGCUGGCUAGUGAUGCUGGCGGACAUGUGAUGCAACUGUUGGUGUUCUGCUUCCAGAACACCUGCAGGGUGCUCUUCAUGUCCAUGCUCCAGACUUUCCGGUCCAAGGACAAUGACAAGAUGAUCUUCAAGACAGCAUGGGAAAAAAUUCAGUCCUCCAAAAAAGUUUUCAAUUUUGCCAUCUUCAAGGUGACAGCUUGUGCAAUGUGGGCAGUUGGAAUACCACUUGCACUUUUUGGAUACUUUGUACCUUGCGUUCACUUGGGAAGGAAGUGGAGGCUUAAGGUUAUAAUGACCAAUGGUGCCUGGUCACUGUCUGUCGCCUUUUCCUGCAUCUGCUCUACUGAUGUUACAGGGGUAAUACACGGAGAACAAGCGUGCUCCUUUGUGAGAUCCCCACAGCUGCUUUUGUUUACUUUGCCAUCUUUCCUUUAUGUUCUCUGACUCCCACAUCAGUGGUGGGAAUCAAUGUUCUGCUUUUUAAGUUAUUAUCAUUAAUCUGUCAAACACUCCCUUUUAUCACCUUCCCUGUUGUAAGGAAUCCAAAUCCUGGUUCUCUCAAUGGAUACAUUUAUUGAUUUGUGUGUGUGUGUGUGUGUGUGUGUGUGUGUGUGUGUGAAAUGCUGAAUACCUUAAUCAGCUUGAUUUAAUCAUUCAUAUUGUAUACAUGUAUCAAAACAUCACGAUGUACUCCAUAAAUGUAACAACAUCCUGAUUUGUUAAUUAAAAAUCAUAUUAAUUAGAGGAAAAGUCUCCCAACUAAUCUACUUCACAUGAUUGUUUAAAUGAUACACCAGCUUAGUGACUAGCACACAGAAAGUGCUCAAUAAAUGCUAUUUCUUCUUAUGUUUGGACUUUUCAGGGGAACUCAACAGGGGAGUCACAAAACAAGCUCUGCGUGUUUGGUUCAAAUCCCUAUCUGAAAACCAAGUAAGUCUCUUGUGAACGGGGAAGUAUUGUUCAU
rnacentral:lncRNA from 1 species